CCGGAUAAUCGCGCAUGAAAAUGUGAGGAAAGUCCGUGCAUCCAAGGACAGAUCGCCGGGGAAAGCCCGGACGGCGUGAGCCGGUGGAUAGUGCCACAGAAAUGAAUGCGUCAGCCGGUGUGAGUGCGGUGCCGGCUUGCGGGAGCAAGACGGGCAGGCACGAACACUACGAUGCCGCCGUUGUGACAGAAGCGAAUGCGGAAGGAACGAAGCAAUCCGAUAACGGAUUGCACAGGCGGCUAAAAAAGCAAAGACGUGAGACUGCCGAUGGAUUUUAUAUCACAGGCGAGGGUGCAACGGUGAGUUAAGAGCUUCACCGGCAAUAUUGAGAAAUAUUGGCCAGGUAAACCCCGAUCGGAUGCAAGAUUAAAUGGAAGGUUAUAAAGGUUGUCCGCCCACUUCUAAAAAAUCGCUUGAGAUUGUGAGUAAUCACAAUACCAGACAGAUGAUUAUCUAAAACAGAACACGGCUUACGGGCUGCUUUA
rnacentral:RNase_P_RNA from 1 species